rnacentral:lncRNA from 1 species
GUCCUAGGGAGGUAGCUAUAGGCACCAUUGCGGCUGGCCGGUGCCUAGCGGGACUGAGAGGUGAAACUGGCCAACCUCCCGUGAGGGUUUGUAGCUUGCCCGGCUUUACACAAAAUGAGCCAACAGUCGUCACUGCCCACGAGGUGGCAGCACUGAGCAGCAAGUCCUUGCAAGAAGAUGGACCCAGUCAAGGCUUCUGGCUGUUCCAGGCCCUGAAGAUUUCUUCAGCAGCAUCCAGUGUGCUGUCUUUCUAGAAAUAAAAUAAUUGUAUCGUUACAUACCAGUAUAAAUUCAAGAUAUUGCAAUAUUUAAAUAUAGAAGGUAUAUCUGGGUGCUUGUGGCACCCCUUUAGAAAAACCCAUUGAAGAUUAAAAACCGUACUAGCAAUACCCAAAAACUUAAGAGAAUGUACAGUCUUAGGUGAAGAAGCAAUGUCAAAGUAAAAACAAAAAUGUGGAAACUAAAAGGGGAGGGGUGGGACGUGGCUCAGUGGUUAGGGUGUGUACCGAUCUUGCAGAGAAAUCAUGUUCCUAGCACCCCAGGUGAGCGGCUCACAAAACUUCCUAAAACUCCAGCUCCCAGGGAUCUGAUGACCUGUCCUGUUAUACGUGAGUGUACACACACACACACACACACACACACACACACUUAAAAAAGUAAACAAAAAUCUAGA